AAGGAUAUGAAAUAAAAUAGAUUGCGUAAAUUAAUAAGUUUAUUUUAAAAACGUGUACAAAUACCUUAUAGCUGGUGUAUGCGGUUGAUAUUGUAAUACUAAAUCCAAUGUCUUAUUACACCAUAAGACAUCGGCAACUCCUGCGUUCCUUAACAUAACAAUUACGCCUAUGUAACGGGCUUACUUGCGUUCUAAACGAUGCAUCAGUAAUAUCUAUGUAUAUUAGUCUUAAAACAACGUUUUUAUAAAACCUAUCGGCUGUUGCUACAUCACAUGUGUUUAUCCUAACCAUUAAAUAACUGUCGAAACGAAAAACGCAGAAAAUACAAAUAUCCACUGCGCUUUUAGGACGGCAGGAAGGCGCAACGCACCAAAACUAUAA